rnacentral:rRNA from 1 species
AACGAACGCUGGCGGCAGGCUUAACACAUGCAAGUCGAGCGCCCCGCAAGGGGAGCGGCAGACGGGUGAGUAACGCGUGGGAAUCUACCCAUCUCUGCGGAAUAGCUCUGGGAAACUGGAAUUAAUACCGCAUACGCCCUACGGGGGAAAGAUUUAUCGGGGAUGGAUGAGCCCGCGUUGGAUUAGCUAGUUGGUGGGGUAAAGGCCUACCAAGGCGACGAUCCAUAGCUGGUCUGAGAGGAUGAUCAGCCACAUUGGGACUGAGACACGGCCCAAACUCCUACGGGAGGCAGCAGUGGGGAAUAUUGGACAAUGGGCGCAAGCCUGAUCCAGCCAUGCCGCGUGAGUGAUGAAGGCCUUAGGGUUGUAAAGCUCUUUCACCGAUGAAGAUAAUGACGGUAGUCGGAGAAGAAGCCCCGGCUAACUUCGUGCCAGCAGCCGCGGUAA